UAGUUUUGUCAAACCCCGUCGAUAUCGUUUAAUCCAUGCAUUGUGUCGUUUAACCCAUCUGGCGUCACGCAACUGUACGACGUUAGGCGGUAGGCACAAAACCCCGUUUCACACUUUGACCGACCAAUCGCGUUCGUUCCAACCCAACACCGACGCUCGCGUGAAUCCUUUUUCGUUUUCGGGUAUCGAAAACGAAGAAGCAAAGAGAACCAAAGCGCCACGCAAUUGCACUUCUUCUUCUUCUUCUUCUUCUUCUUCUUUGGCAACUCAGAAUCGCUUAAACAAUGACAGAGGAUAGCAUCGUUAGGGUUUCUUCUUCCAACGAAACCUCCGCGGCCAACGAGGCUUCGCAGACGCGGCAGAGAAAGAAGAGAAAGUGGGAUCAACCGGCGGAGUCAUUGAUGCCAGUUGGGAUGACAGUCCCUGGAGCACUCCCUUUGAGCAAUGCCGUGACUCUUGGAGGGGUUGCAUUUCCCGCCAUGGCUCCGGUGAUCUCCGGCACUCUUUUGACGAAUCCUCUGGCAGCUUCUGCUCAGCUUCCGCAACAUGCAGCUGCAGCUGCUGUUGCCGCGCAAAAGUUGAAUCAACAUAAGAUCCAAGAUGAAUUAAUAAUUGCUCGAGAAAUUGUCAUAAAUGAUGCAGAGUCUUCUGUUCGCUACAAGUUGACAAAACGCCAAACACAAGAGGAGAUCCAGAGGUGCACUGGUGCCAUAGUUAUAACUAGGGGAAAGUAUCGGCUGCCUAAUGCACCACAUGAUGGAGAGAAGCCACUGUACCUUCACAUCUCUGCAGGAGCUCAUAUAAAAGAGACAGCAGAACGGAUUUUAGCUGUUGAUCGUGCUGCUGCAAUGAUUGAAGAAAUUCUCAAACAGGUGCAAAAUUCACAGUCAAUUUCUUCCGUCACACCUUCUGCUUUGGUUAAUGGAGUGAAGAUGCUGAGUACAUGCGUGUUUUUGGGCUUUGAUGCUGAUCCUUCAUUGAACAUUGUUGCUCGUAUACGUGGACCAAAUGAUCAGUAUAUAAAUCACAUUAUGAAUGAAACAGGAGCGACAGUUGUACUGAGAGGACGUGGUUCAGGAAACAAUGAAUGCUUGAAUGGAGAAGAUGGACAGCAGCCCCUGCAUCUGUUUUUGUCUAGUAACAAUGCGAAAAGUCUUGAAGAUGCUAAGCUUUUGGCUGAAAAUCUUUUGGAUACAAUCUGUACGGAGUGUGGUGCUUCAAGGGUUUCAUCAUGUAAGGUUUAUAGUGCUGUUCCACCUCCACAGCAGGUAUACACUGCUGUUCCACCUCCCCAUCAGGUAUAUAGUGCUGUUCCACCACCCCAGCAGGUUUAUAGUGGCCCUUCUUUGUUGAAGCAGAUUCCUGCUGCCAUUUCACCCCCACAAGUUUAUAGUGCUGUUCCACCCCCACAGCAGUUGUUGACUGGAGUUCAGAGUUCUGGAAUUGACCUAGAGGCAGGUGCCAGCCUAAUCACUAGUUCAAUGUCAGCAGCUGGGGUCUUGACACCGGUUCCUCCAGCUUCCUUGGUUGGAGUGACUGGUGUCACUGGUGCCCUCACUUUGGGGACUACACCCCAAUCUAUAAGACAUUUAAGCUCUGGGCCUCAAGCAAACAUGACUGGUUAUACUCCUCCCCCUUUAGUAUCAGGUGGUACUAGCUAUAUUGGAUAUGGCGGAUUAUAUCCUCAAGCUACCCCUUUGCAACAAGUUGCCCUUGCCUUGAGACACUCACCUCCUGUUGCAUCAACAGUUGCUCCCACAACAUCAGCAUCAAACAGAGGAUCCAAGUCAACCUUAAGCUCUGAUCUUGAAAAGGAGAAACGGCCGCCUCAGAGACGAAAGUUUCAAGAAUUGCCAGUUGGUUCAAAAGACACAACAAAACUCAAUCAGGUAUUUUCUCUGACCUUCUAUGAAGCAAAAAGCCUGACACUGGACCUGUCUGUUGGGCCAUUGGUUUGUAUGUUUGAUAGGGUUUUCAGUUUUGGAGGAGUAGUAGGGUGCUUGUGGCUUCACAGCAUAUGCCCUUUCCAAUCCAAGAUGUUAUUCUAAUAUUUUCCUUCAUUGGUAAAAUUGCUGCAAAAGAUGUUGUGGCAUGCUUUUCAGCCAUGCCCUCCUCUAGUCCUGCAUAUAUGGACUGUCAAUUUCCUGAAGAAAAGGGUUUACCAUACCAGCACCAAAUUGAUGCCAAUCCUUUAAAUUGAAAUAAAGACAAGUUAGAGAUAGGAGAAAAUAUAAAACUAAGGAAUGAGAUAUCAUAGCAAGGUAUAAUAAAAAAGGAAUAAAAUAAAAAUUGUAUGUAUGGACAAAGUAAAUUAAAAAAGCUCUUUCCCAUGAUUGGUUAUCCUUUGAAGAGACACUCUUAGAACAUCUUACACCACCAUGAAGUCUUGCUAGACAUAAUCCCAAGUCCUUUGAAAUGAUUCAUAAAGAGAAAGAGAUGAAAACUUGCAUCUUUUGUGCUACCAAUCAAUCCAUUCCUGACCAAAAAAUUGAGUUUCAAGUGUCACUAUUAAACCCAUUGAUCACUAAAAUAUCCAGUUGUGUGCAAGAUUUUUUUUCUUCUUAUUUUACAUCAAUGCUGCAUUCGGUAUUGGGUCUCAAACCCUAUUAUCAGGAAAAUUUGAGCUGCAGAUUUACAUUUAUCUUUACAUUAUCUAUUGGGAGCUUGACAAUAUAUUCCUAUGCACAUAUCUUAAUGUAUUAUCUAUCCGUUUACUCCAUCUGGCUAGUUUUUUUACUUUCCUGGUUUUUAUUAUCAUGUAUGUAACAGUAUAGUAGAUCAUUCUAGAAUGAUACACUACGAACAAGUCACUGCCCGUUUAUCCCCUUGUUUGUUUUACCUCGUUUUUUGUAUUCGUUUUUCUCGUUUGUAGUUCAGUGUUAAUUUGACUUUGUAGUUUGGCAUGUUGAAACAAUUAAUGAAGUAUCUGAUUCAAAAGUUGUGUUUGGGUUUUUGUUUUCUCCCACUCUAACUCAAUUGCAGAGAUUGCAACCUCUAAAAACUAAUGAACAAUCUGAUGGUCCGGUUGUGAGGAAUAUAUCAACAAUGCCUGCCCCUAAGAAGUUGGUUCAGCCAUCAUCCAAUGGAAUGCCACCACCUCUACUAAGAACCAUGCCCCCACCACCACCUCCACCUAAAUUUUGUGGUCCAUCUGAAGUUAAAGUACAGGCCAAGAACAAGACUUUGCUUAAGACAAAAUCUGAUGCAGUUCCUGAUACUUUGGUCAAGCUAAUGGAAUAUGGAGAGGAGGAUGAUGAUGAUAUUGAUUCUAGUGAGGAAUCACUUCCUCAUGACGCCGGAGCAACUGGGGUUCAAAAGCCUUUCUGGGCUUUAUGAGCUACAAGGUGCAUAUUGGACUAUAUAUGUAAAUAUUUAUUGUUUGGGUUGGGACUAGUUCUUGCUGGUUACAUACUCUUCUUCCCGGGGUGGAAAGGGAAGCCCUUAGCAUGAUUUUUGGAGCCAAAUAAUUUGGUUGAGUAGCACUUUAAAGGUUUUAGUUGCCCAUUCUCAUAUGCUUCGUAAGAGAGGUUUAUAUGUUGUAAUUUUUUGGCCCUAUUUGAGUAAGCAUGUACCGGUAGUCUCUUUUUAGUGGUUUAGUAGGCCACUAAAGUAACGAUGCUGUGAUAAGGGACAGUUUUUUCCUUCUUCCCCCCAUUGUUAAUUAUUCAUCCUGGCUGAAUGAAACGAAGCUACCAGGUUAGAUGGAACAAGCAA